rnacentral:rRNA from 1 species
AGAGUUCGAUCCUGGCUCAGGAUGAACGCUGGCGGCGUGCUUAACACAUGCAAGUCGAGCGAAGCACCUUGACGGAUUUCUUCGGAUUGAAGCCUUGGUGACUGAGCGGCGGACGGGUGAGUAACGCGUGGGUAACCUGCCUCAUACAGGGGGAUAACAGUUGGAAACGGCUGCUAAUACCGCAUAAGCGCACAGUACCGCAUGGUACGGUGUGAAAAACUCCGGUGGUAUGAGAUGGACCCGCGUCUGAUUAGCUAGUUGGUAAGGUAACGGCUUACCAAGGCGACGAUCAGUAGCCGACCUGAGAGGGUGACCGGCCACAUUGGGACUGAGACACGGCCCAAACUCCUACGGGAGGCAGCAGUGGGGAAUAUUGCACAAUGGGGGAAACCCUGAUGCAGCGACGCCGCGUGAGUGAAGAAGUAUUUCGGUAUGUAAAGCUCUAUCAGCAGGGAAGAAAAUGACGGUACCUGACUAAGAAGCCCCGGCUAACUACGUGCCAGCAGCCGCGGUAAUACGUAGGGGGCAAGCGUUAUCCGGAUUUACUGGGUGUAAAGGGAGCGUAGACGGCGGAGCAAGUCUGAAGUGAAAGCCCGGGGCUCAACCCCGGGACUGCUUUGGAAACUGUUAAGCUAGAGUGCUGGAGAGGUAAGUGGAAUUCCUAGUGUAGCGGUGAAAUGCGUAGAUAUUAGGAGGAACACCAGUGGCGAAGGCGGCUUACUGGACAGUAACUGACGUUGAGGCUCGAAAGCGUGGGGAGCAAACAGGAUUAGAUACCCUGGUAGUCCACGCCGUAAACG